rnacentral:rRNA from 1 species
CCUACGGGAGGCAGCAGUGAGGAAUAUUGGUCAAUGGGCGAGAGCCUGAACCAGCCAAGUCGCGUGAGGGAGUACUGCCCUAUGGGUUGUAAACCUCUUUUGUCGGGGAGCAAAAGCCGGACGUGUCCGGCUGUGAGAGUACCCGAAGAAUAAGCAUCGCCUAACUCCGUGCCAGCAGCCGCGGUAAUACGGAGGAUGCGAGCGUUAUCCGGAUUUAUUGGGGUUAAAGGGUGCGCAGGCGGAUUUUUAAGUCAGCGGUCAAAUCGUGGGGCUCAACCCCAUCCAGCCGUUGAAACUGGGGAUCUAGAGUGUGCGAGAGGUAUGCGGAAUGCGUGGUGUAGCGGUGAAAUGCAUAGAUAUCACGCAGAACCCCGAUUGCGAAGGCAGCAUACCGGUGCACAACUGACGCUCAGGCACGAAAGCGUGGGUAUCGAACAGGAUUAGAUACCCCAGUAGUC